AAACAUGCCAGAGCGAGGGUGGCCUUCAUCCGUAUGCUGCAACCUCUUUAUUCCAUGAAAUCCCUGAGCACAAAGACCAUGAACACGUCAGGUUCUCCACAGAGCAGCCAGCAGAAUGUAGAAGGCGUCAGGGCAGCUGUGCUCUGUGAAGCUGCAAUGACUCAAAUCGUCUAAUGAGUCAAACGCUAACAGAUUAGAAGGGCAUGAGAAAGCCUGAAUACCACCCUCUCCAAACAGUGGGCCCCUCGAUCUGAACCUUGAAGCUGAAAUACGAUUCCUACUUCAUGGUCAGGCUUGUUGACUGUAUCAAAGGGAAAUGAGAGAAAACACCAGCCGGCCAAUCCUGCUGCUUAUAACCAGCAACAGUAAACAUUCUGAGAGAUAAAAACGUUUAAA